AAAUAGUAUGCUAUGCAAUGCAAUGUCGACUGAUUUUAUUUUUAUUCUAUUCUCAACAGGCGCCUAAGAUAUGAGGGCACGUCACGUCACAAGUUUUCUUCUCCUGGCGCCUAAGAUAUGAGGGCACGUCACGUCACAAGUUUUCUUCUCCUGACAUUGGUAGCCUUUCUCCAGGGUGGGUUUUCCAAACCUUUGGAAGGAGGUGAUUAUGGAGGAGUAGGAGAAGGAGGAGGAGGAGGA